GAUGAACGCUGGCGGCGUGCCUAAUACAUGCAAGUCGAGCGAACGGACGAGAAGCUUGCUUCUCUGAUGUUAGCGGCGGACGGGUGAGUAACACGUGGAUAACCUACCUAUAAGACUGGGAUAACUUCGGGAAACCGGAGCUAAUACUGGAUAAUAUUUUGAACCGCAUGUUUCAAAAGUGAAAGACGGUCUUGCUGUCACUUAUAGAUGGAUCCGCGCUGCAUUAGCUAGUUGGUAAGGUAACGGCUUACCAAGGCAACGAUGCAUAGCCGACCUGAGAGGGUGAUCGGCCACACUGGAACUGAGACACGGUCCAGACUCCUACGGGAGGCAGCAGUAGGGAAUCUUCCGCAAUGGGCGAAAGCCUGACGGAGCAACGCCGCGUGAGUGAUGAAGGUCUUCGGAUCGUAAAACUCUGUUAUUAGGGAAGAACAUAUGUGUAAGUAACUGUGCACAUCUUGACGGUACCUAAUCAGAAAGCCACGGCUAACUACGUG
rnacentral:rRNA from 1 species